rnacentral:piRNA from 1 species
UGAACUCUGCCACUAUUACUUUGAAAGC